UUUGUUUUCUUCUUACAGGUUUCAAAACUCAAGUUGUUAGAGAAGAUAAAAACUGAAUUUUUAUGUGUUGAGAGUAAUUCUGAAAAAUAUUUGUGCAUACAAAUCUUUACUGGGCCCAGUUCUCAUGAUGCUCCCAUGUGAAACUGUCCAACUAUGUUAAUUUGAGAAUUAUCAAAUCCUGAGGCACCCAAAAAGGGUGGACUGAGAAAAGUUCAUGGGAAAAAAAAAGGAUGAAUCCAGAUGAAUAAUAUAGCCUUUCUUUAGUCAGAAACAAGCCUGCUAACUAUUCAUGAGAGACUGAAUAACAUUUCUCAAUAUCAAAUUUAUUUCAAUUUAUUCUGGAACAUAUAAAUAUAUCUAGAAAAAUCUAAAUGAUAUGUUUCUUUUCAUAAGAAUCAAUAGACAUUAGUCAAAUAUAUGGGAACAUCAAGUCUGGUUCUUUAUUUGUAUGGGGCCUUUUGUUUGCUUGCUUGUUUGUUUGUAUUUGCCUGUAACUUGCCACAUGGUCAACAAAAGUGUUUUGCAGUUUACUCUUCAGCAUAAAUAUUCUUUCAUAAGCCAAGUUACUUAAAUUGGAUCUCAGUUUCAAAACUCAGUAUCAAAUUUUUCAACCUUCCCAGUUUUUGUGUUAGUUUGGGGGUUUUUGUUUAUUAGCUUGUUUAGUUUUGGUUUGUUUUUUGUUCUUUGUUUGUUUGUGGGAUUUUUGGUUGUCUUUUCUUUCUUUUUAUUUUUUUUUCUGUUUAUUUUUGUUUCUUUGCUUGUUUGUUUGUUUAUUUAUUUUCAGUGUAAUUGGAAAAUUCUGCAAAGCUAAGGAAGUGUGCCAACCAUAAAUUAAAAUAACAUUUGAGGAGGC
rnacentral:lncRNA from 1 species